rnacentral:rRNA from 1 species
GUGCCAGCAGCCGCGGUAAUUCCAGCUCCAAUAGCAAAUAUUAAGGUUGUUGCGUUAAAAACGCGCGUAGUUGAAUUUGGAGCGCGUCGGUCUGUACAAUGAAUUUUGGCACUGGCCGGCGGGUUCUAUACCUUCUGCCGACCGCGUCUGCCUUUAAACGGGUGGGCGCUGGAGACAGGACUUUUACUUAGAGAAAAUUAGAGUGUUUAAAGCAGGCAAUCGCUUGAAUACAUUAGCAUGGAAUGAUGGAAUAGGACUUUGGUUCUAUUUUGUUGGUUUCUAGGACCGAAGUAAUGAUUAAUAGGGACAGUUGGGGGCAUCAGUAUUUCAGAGUCAGAGGUGAAAUUCUUGGAUUUCUGAAAGACUAACUACUGCGAAAGCAUUUGCCAAGGAUGUUUUCAUUAACCAAGCACGAAAGUCAGGGGAUCAAAAAUGAUUAGAUACCGUUGUAGUCUUGACCAUAAACUAUGCCGACUCGGGAUUGGCGGGACGUACUUAUAUGCGCUCGCCAGCACCGUAUGAGAUAUCAAAGUUUUUGGGUUACGGGGGGAGUACGCUUGCAAGUGUGAAACUUAAAGAAAUUGGCGGAAGAGCGCCACAAGAUGUGGAGCCUGCGGCUUAAUUUGACUCAACACGGGAAAACUUACCAGGUCCAGACUUAAGAAGGAUUGACAGAUUGAGAGCUCUUUCUUGAUUUUAAGGAUGGUGGUGCAUGGCCGUUCUUAGUUGGUGGAGUGAUUUGUCUGCUUAAUUGCGAUAACGAACGAGACCUUUUCCUGCUAAAUAGACUCGGCCUGCUUUGCAGGUCGCAGCCUUCUUAGAGGGACUUUUGACGUUUAGUCAUAGGAAGCUUGAGGCUAUAACAGGUCUGUGAUGCCCUUAGAUGUUCUGGGCCGCACGCGCGUUACACUGAUGAAGUCAGCGAGUUUAUUCCUUGGCCGACAGGUCCGGGUAAUCUUUUGAAACUUCAUCGUGAUGUGGAUAAGGCAUUGCAAUUAUUGCCUUUGAAAGAGGAAUAUCUAGUAAUCGUGAGUCAUCAACUCGCGCUGAUUACGUCCCUGCUCUUUGCACACACCGCCCGUC